AAAACGUAGAGUUGGUUCUAAAGCUGUGGCAAUGUUGCUUUUAGUCAUAUGUUCUCAUUUACUCCAUUCCAGAAUGUUUAUGUGCUAUUGCAUAGUCCCUGGCGUGCCAUCUGUUCCUGCAGUCAAGACCAGUAAACUCAGGUAUGAGCCUUGCAAGAAGACAUACAUAUUUUGCUGAUUGCCAAGGGGAUAAUGCAUUGGGUAUAAGAAGAAGGAAAGUAGAGGAACCAAUUAAGAAAUAUUUACUACAAUUAAGAAGAGAUGAUAAUAACUUCGACCAAGGUGGAGGCUAUGAAGAUGGAGCAAUGCGAAUACAUGGAGACAUGUUUUUGAUGUAGACUCAGCAAGAAAUUCUAAUAUAUUAGAUUUUAUGUUUUGGGAGAAAAAGAGACAUCUCCAAGAUUAUGGCUUGAAUAGAUUGGGACUAAUAGUGAAACUUGAGAGUGAUCACAUAUGGAGAUGAAAGAUUGAAAGACCUCUCGCUGAACAUAAUAUAGAAGGUCUAAAAUACUCUCAAGUCCCCUCCAUCUCAAAAUGACAGCAGUAACAGUGAAAACUAAACAUAGCUGUACCAAGAGGAAAGGCCAUAUGAGGACAUAGCAAGAAGGUGGCUGUAUACAAGUCAGGAAAAGAGGCUUCAACAGAAACCCACUCUGACCAAGCAUCUUGAACUUGGACUUCAUAAUUGUGAGAAAACAAACUUCUGCUGUUUAAACCACCUGGUCUAUGGUAUUUUGUUACGGUAUUCCCAGAAACCCAUGAAUGUUGGCACCACAAAGUGUCGUGCUACUGUAAUAAAUGUCUAAAAAUGUGGAGUGACUUUGGAACUAGGUGCUGAGUGCAGGCUGAAAGAGUUUUGAGGUGCAUGCUAGAAAAAGCCUAUGGUGCUUUGAAGGGACUCUUCGCAGAAAUAUAAAUGCUAAGGGUGAUUCUAGUGAGGUCUCAGGUGGAAGUGAAAAACAUGUUAUUAGAAGCUGAAGGAAAGACAUUCUUUUCAUAAAGUGGCAAAGAAUUUGGAUGAACUAUUUGUUUUUUAUUAUUUUGGAGAAGAGAGAACAUGUUUUCUAGACGUGUUGAUAAUCUGGCCUUAUUUCUCUUUAGUUCUUAGAGUAAAAUGCAAAAGGAGAGAGAGAAACUGAAAAAUUUCUUGGCUGG
rnacentral:lncRNA from 1 species